UACGUAGGAGGCAAGCGUUGUCCGGAAUUACUGGGCGUAAAGCGCGUGUAGGUGGUGGGACAAGUCUGCUGUGAAAGCGCCUGGCUUAACCGGGCGAGGUCGGCGGAAACUGUCCGACUCGAGGACGGUAGAGGGGGGUGGAAUUCCCGGUGUAGCGGUGGAAUGCGUAGAGAUCCGGAAGAACACCGGUGGCGAAGGCGGUCUGCUGGGCCAAGACUGACGCUGAGGCGCGACAGCGUGGGGAGCAAACAGG
rnacentral:rRNA from 1 species